AUAUCCUGGCGGCGGAGCAGACGAUCCUCGUGUUCGUGGAUGACGUCGGGGACAACCCGCCCUACUGGAUCAAGACGAAGCCGUCGGUCUUGCUCGAGGAAUGCGACGCCGAUGUGUUCGUCGUCCAGGUGGAAGCUAGUGACAGAGAUGUCGAGGUUAAUAAUGAUAUAAGAUACAGCAUUACGGACGGAAACGAUGAAGGGUUCUUUAGCAUUGAUGACAUCACCGGAGAGGUCAAGACUGCGAAGGAGGUCGACCGCGAGUCGCUCGCCACGACGACCUUCGCCCUCACCAUCACGGCGACGGAGGUCAACGCCGACGGCAGCGUGGCGGACGAACCCAAUUCGUCCACGCA